CCUACGGGUGGCAGCAGUGAGGAAUAUUGGUCAAUGGCCGUAAGGCUGAACCAGCCAAGUAGCGUGAGGGAAGACUGCCCUAUGGGUUGUAAACCUCUUUUAUGCGGGGACAAAGGUCUCUACGUGUGGAUCUUCGCAGGUACCCCAUGAAUAAGGAUCGGCUAACUCCGUGCCAGCAGCCGCGGUAAUACGGAAGGUCCGGGCGUUAUCCGGAUUUAUUGGGUUUAAAGGGUGCGUAGGCGGGGCAUUAAGUGUGCGGUGAAAUUUUGUGGCUCAACCAUGAGAGUGCGGCGCGAACUGGAGGGCUAGAGUGCGCGGGAGGCAGGCGGAAUUCGUGGUGUAGCGGUGAAAUGCUUAGAUAUCACGAAGAACCCCGAUUGCGAAGGCAGCCUACCGCAGCGUAACUGACGCUGAGGCUCGAAAGCGCGGGUAUCGAACAGGAUUAGAUACCCUUGUAGUC
rnacentral:rRNA from 1 species